CUGCUUAUUUGGGACAACUCCCAAAGAACAACAACUAAUCAAGAAAGUAGUCGGGAAUCCUUCCGUUUAUUUGGGACAGUAUGCCACUAAUUGGGGCAGGACAUUGUUGCCAAACAAUUUCCAACUAGGUCAGUUGUGCAGCCAUUAGACACUACACUGUGCUUAGAGCAAACAGUUUGUAAAUAGCGUCAGUUGUGAAUGUUUGUCUUCAAAAAGCAGUGAUUUUUGCCACUGAUAGUUGGUGAGAAAGAAGCAGGAAAAUGAUUCAGAACUGUUUUGCUCACUGCAGUUUCAAAUGUUCAGGUUUGGAGAUGCUAGAAUUGGCCAGGAGUGAAAACGAAAUGAUUUCACUGCUUCAACAAGUUAACAACUACAACGAAUUUGAAAGUAUCGACAAUCAUCUUCAAUGUUACAAGGAAAAUGAAGAUUUGGAGGAUGCAAUUGUUAAAAUUAUGCAUGAAAACAGUCCAUUUUCUGCAAUAGGUGUCUGCACUGAUUUUGUUCAUUUACGCCGGACUAAUUCCUCUGUCAAUGGUGGUUGUCCAUUGUAUCCAACGAUGACAGAAAACCUGUGCGGAAGAGUUUUUUUUAAAUGGAAAAGCCACUGCACUGGGACAGUUCCACCCUCUCGACCUAGGAAGUCCAGAUCCAGUGGCACGAGCAGUCAUCACACCUCGGGUCUUCCUAGGUUGCAGUGACUUUAUUUGUGCUUCGUCAUGUCCUUCGCUCUCCAGUGAGCAUUGCAGAACUGCCUUCCUAACUGUUGGAUGUCACAGUAGAUUUUAUCCGCCCAGACCGCUGAAGCUGGCUUCACGUUAGGAUGGGUGUUUAUGUAUGAAUCUCACUGAGGUAUGAGACCAGCCAGCUACACUUACCUGGUUUACCCUGUCUGUCAAAGUAGUGUACCGGGGUCUGGCUGCCUUUGCGUGCUAACAGCUAUUUGGAGCAACAGGUGAGAGUUGAGUGUCCAGUGGCAACCAAAGUAAAUAUCCUCUGAAUAUCUUGACAACUGCAAUCAAAUUGGCGGCAGCAGAAGGCAAGCGGAGCACCACCAAACACGGCAAGUUCUUUUUCCAUGCACGGGGGUUUACUGAUUUUUUUUAAAUCCUAAAAGAGAGAUAGGGUCCGGGGUGCAGCUAUCAUCAGAGUGGGGGCUAGAGUCAGAGUGGGAACUUAAGAGGCUUUGACAAGAAGAGGCUGAGGCCAAAGAAACAGAUAAUUAGGGUAGGUUUUCAUUUUGUUAUUGUUGAUUUGGUCUUGAUUGUCCAUAGUACAGUGCAGGCAGGAUGGCAGAUAUGGCACUGGAAUGCUCCUCCUGUAGGAUGUGGGAAUUCAUGGAACCUGAUGGUCUCCUGAUAACGACACCCACGGGAAGUGCAGCCAAUUCCAAGUCCUGAAAGACCGCAUUAAAGAGCUAGAUGAACUGAGGACCAUCGGGGAGGCAGAGCAAUUGAUAGAUAAGACCUUUAAGCAGGUGGUUACACCCAGAGUGCAGAAUUCAGGGAGUAGAUGGGUGAACAUCGAGAGAGGUAAAGGGAGAAAUAAGUCAGUACAGGAUCCCCCUGUAGCCAUUCCCCUCAGCAACAAGUACACCCCUUUGGAUACUGAUGAGGAGGAUGACUUAUCUGGGCAAGAGAACAAAAAAACCCAGACCAAUAGCACUGUGGUUGGCUCGGAGUCUCAGAAGGGUAGGGUAAACUCAGAUGGAGCAAUAGUCACAGGGGCUCAAUAGUUAGGAGGGGAGACAGGAGAUUCUGCAGCAGCAGAAGAGAUGAAAGGAUAGUGUGUUGCAUCCCGGGUGCUAGGGCCUAGGAUGUCUCCGAGCAGUUGCAGAAUAUUCUUGAAGGGAAGGGUGAGCAGCCAGAGGUCAUGAUACAUAUUGGUACCAAUGACGUAGGCAGGAGAGGGGUUGAGGUCCUGUGCAGUAAAUUUAGGGAAUUAUGAAGGAGACUGAAAAGCAGGACCUCCAAGAUAGUAAUCUCUGGAUUACUCUCUGUGCCACGAGCUAGGGAAGGUCAGAACAGGAAGAUAGCACAGAAAAAUGAGCGGCUGAGGAGAUGGUGCAGGGCACAGGGUUUCAAGUUCUUGGAUCAUUGGAAUCUCCUCUGUUAAGUGGUGACUUGUACAAGUGGGAUGGGUUGCACCUGAACUGGAGGGGAACCAAUAGCCUGGGAGGGAGGUUUGUUAAUGCUAUUGGAGAGGGUUGAAACUAGAUUUUUGGGGGGGUGUUGUGGGAACCAAAGUGAAGAGGCAGUAGAGACAGUUUGUAGGGAGUUUCUGAGGAAGGAUAGGCAGAUGAUAGAGCAAAGAUGUGUGCUCAGCCUGAUGGUUUGAAAUGUGUCUAUUUUAAUGCAAGGUGUACCAUAAACAAGGUGGAUUAACUGAGAGCACGGAUCAAUACAUGGAACUAUGAUGUUGUGGCCAUUACACAGACUUGGAUGUCUCAGGGGCAGGAAUGGCUGCUGAGUGUGCCAGGCUUUAGACGUUUCAAAAAUGACAGGAAGAGAGGCGAAAGAGAAAAAAGCAUGCAAAGACUGGCUGGCAGGCCUGACUGCAGGUAAGAAGGUUGUAGUCCAGUGUUGGAAAUCUCCCCAUGAUAUUUCAAGUACUCCCUGGCUUCAGAGCUUUUUGGACAUUUCUUACCUGGAACUAUCAUCAGCAAGAAUAAAUGAUGCGCUACCAAACACAAUCUUAACGUGGACAAAUUUGAUAUCUAAUUUAAGAGAUCUUUUGUUGAAAUAGGAAUGCUCUGUCU